UAAUAACAAGCUGAAACGGAGUGCUGUGCGCACGGGCUGUGGCGAGAG
rnacentral:ncRNA from 1 species